GGAACAUUCAUGCACAAAUUUUUGUCUGGACUAUGUUUUUAAUUCUCUUGGGUAAAUACCUAGGAGUAGAAUCGCUGGCUUAUAUGCUAACUCUAUGUUUAACUUUUUGAGGAACUGCCAACUGCUUUCCAAAGCGACAGUGGAGAUUCUGUUUUUUAAGAAUCAGAUCCACGAAUUUUGGAUAUGUCACACGAUUGACUUUUUCUUCCUUUUCAACAGCUACAGAUUUCAAUGAGGACAAUAAAGGAGCAUAAGAUCGAGAGGAGCUGCUAAAGUGUUUCCCACAGUGGCUGAAGCAUUUUACAUUCCCACCUGCGAUGCACAAGAGUUCCAGUUUCUCCACAUUCUUGCCAAUAUUUAUUUUUUGUUUUUUUCUGGAAUUGUUAUAGCCAUUUUUGUUGGCAUAAAGUUGUACCUCAUUGUGGUUUUGAUUGGUAUUAUCCUCAUGACCAAGGAUGCUGAGCAUCUUUUCAUGUGCUUGUUGGACAUUUGUAUGUUUUCUUUGGAGAGAUGUCUCUUCAAAUCCUUUGCCCAUUUUGAAAUUGUGCUGUCUGUUUUCUUAUUGUUGAAUUGUAUGUGUUUUUAAUAUAUUCUGGAUACAGAACCCUACG
rnacentral:lncRNA from 1 species